GAUCCUGGCUCAGGAUGAACGCUAGCGGCAGGCUUAACACAUGCAAGUCGAGGGGCAGCGGGAUGUAGCAAUACAUUGCCGGCGACCGGCGGAUGGGUGCGUAACGCGUAUGCAACCUACCUUAUACAGGGGAAUAACCUUUCGAAAGGGAGACUAACACCCCAUAGUAUUGAUUUAAGGCAUCUUAGAUUAAUUAAAUAUUUAUAGGUAUAAGAUGGGCAUGCGUAUGAUUAGCUAGUUGGUAAGGUAACGGCUUACCAAGGCGACGAUCAUUAGGGGUUCUGAGAGGAAGGUCCCCCACACUGGUACUGAGACACGGACCAGACUCCUACGGGAGGCAGCAGUGAGGAAUAUUGGUCAAUGGGCGCAAGCCUGAACCAGCCAUGCCGCGUGCAAGGAAGACGGCCUUAUGGGUUGUAAACUGCUUUUACAUAAGACUAACCGUAUAUUUGCGAAUAUACCUGAAUGUAUUAUGAGAAUAAGGAUCGGCUAACUCCGUGCCAGCCGCCGC
rnacentral:rRNA from 1 species